rnacentral:rRNA from 1 species
GCUGGCGGCAGGCCUAACACAUGCAAGUCGAGCGGUUGAAGGAAGCUUGCUUCCUGAUUCAGCGGCGGACGGGUGAGUAAUGCCUAGGAAUCUGCCUGGUAGUGGGGGACAACGUUUCGAAAGGAACGCUAAUACCGCAUACGUCCUACGGGAGAAAGCAGGGGACCUUCGGGCCUUGCGCUAUCAGAUGAGCCUAGGUCGGAUUAGCUAGUUGGUGAGGUAAUGGCUCACCAAGGCGACGAUCCGUAACUGGUCUGAGAGGAUGAUCAGUCACACUGGAACUGAGACACGGUCCAGACUCCUACGGGAGGCAGCAGUGGGGAAUAUUGGACAAUGGGCGAAAGCCUGAUCCAGCCAUGCCGCGUGUGUGAAGAAGGUCUUCGGAUUGUAAAGCACUUUAAGUUGGGAGGAAGGGCAGUCAGCGAAUACCUUGCUGUCUUGACGUUACCGACAGAAUAAGCACCGGCUAACUCUGUGCCAGCAGCCGCGGUAAUACAGAGGGUGCAAGCGUUAAUCGGAAUUACUGGGCGUAAAGCGCGCGUAGGUGGUUUGUUAAGUUGAAUGUGAAAUCCCCGGGCUCAACCUGGGAACUGCAUCCAAAACUGGCAAGCUAGAGUAGGGCAGAGGGUGGUGGAAUUUCCUGUGUAGCGGUGAAAUGCGUAGAU